CUCUCACCGCUCUACUAUUUCAUUAUAAAUAUGAUUGGAGCCUAUGAGAUGGAAAUGAUGUGGACUUCGUUACUAUAAGAGCACAUAGUCAUAAAAAUUAGAUUACAGGAGUCCUUUGAAACCAUAUCCAUUUCAAUUCUAGAUGAGAUUAUUUAAAGAUGGAAUUUUUGGGGGGCGAUUUUACUUUUUGAAGAAUGAAGAGAUGAUGAAAUAAUAUUUUACAGAUUUUUUUGAGAAAAGAAGAAAAG
rnacentral:lncRNA from 1 species